UACGUAGGGGGCAAGCGUUGUCCGGAUUUAUUGGGCGUAAAGAGCGUGUAGGCGGCUUUACAGGUCCGUUGUGAAAACUCGAGGCUCAACCUCGAGACGCCGGUGGAAACCGUAAGGGCUAGAGUCCGGAAGAGGAGAGUGGAAUCCUGGUGUAGCGGUGAAAUGCGCAGAUAUCAGGAGGAACACCCGUGGCGAAAGCGGCUCUCUGGGACGGUACUGACGCUGAGACGCGAAAGCGUGGGGAGCGAACAGG
rnacentral:rRNA from 1 species